UACGUAGGGGGCAAGCGUUGUCCGGAAUCAUUGGGCGUAAAGAGCGUGUAGGCGGUCCGGUCAGUCGGUUGUGAAAGUCAAGGGCUCAACCCUUGAAUGCCGGCCGAUACUGCCGGGCUAGAGUCCGGAAGAGGUGAGUGGAAUUCCUGGUGUAGCGGUGAAAUGCGCAGAUAUCAGGAGGAACACCAAUGGCGAAGGCAGCUCGCUGGGACGGUACUGACGCUGAGGCGCGAAAGCGUGGGGAGCAAACAGG
rnacentral:rRNA from 1 species